rnacentral:rRNA from 1 species
GCGCAGCAGGCGAGAAUACUUUACAAUGUGCGAAAGCACGAUAAGGGAACUCUGAGUGCCUCCUAAGGAGGCUGUUCAGGUGUCUAAAAAGCACCUGGAGUAAGGGCUGGGUAAGACCGGUGCCAGCCGCCGCGGUAACACCCGGCAGCCCAGGUGGUAGCCACUUUUAUUGGGUCUAAAGCGUCCGUAGCCGGUUGAGUAAGUUCCUUGGGAAAUUUGGCUGCU